rnacentral:hammerhead_ribozyme from 1 species
AUCCAGCAGACGAGUCCCGAAUAGGACGAAACGCGCAUCCUGGAU